rnacentral:piRNA from 1 species
GACUUUUUUCAGAUGGUCUGCUCUCCAGA